UGAGCCAUUAGCUCAGUUGGUAGAGCAUCUGACUUUUAAUCAGAGGGUCGAUGGUUCGAGCCCAUCAUGGCUCAUC
rnacentral:tRNA from 2 species